AGUGAACGCUGGCGGUAGGCCUAACACAUGCAAGUCGAACGGCAGCACAGUAAGAGCUUGCUCUUACGGGUGGCGAGUGGCGGACGGGUGAGGAAUACAUCGGAAUCUACUUUUUCGUGGGGGAUAACGUAGGGAAACUUACGCUAAUACCGCAUACGACCUACGGGUGAAAGCAGGGGAUCUUCGGACCUUGCGCGAUUGAAAUGAGCCGAUGUCGGAUUAGCUAGUUGGCGGGGUAAAGGCCCACCAAGGCGACGAUCCGUAGCUGGUCUGAGAGGAUGAUCAGCCACACUGGAACUGAGACACGGUCCAGACUCCUACGGGAGGCAGCAGUGGGGAAUAUUGGACAAUGGGCGCAAGCCUGAUCCAGCCAUACCGCGUGGGUGAAGAAGGCCUUCGGGUUGUAAAGCCCUUUUGUUGGGAAAGAAAAGCAGCAGGUUAAUACCCCGCUGUUCUGACGGUACCCAAAGAAUAAGCACCGGCUAACUUCGUG
rnacentral:rRNA from 1 species